UACAGAGGUCCCAAGCGUUGUUCGGAUUCACUGGGCGUAAAGGGUGCGUAGGUGGUGAGGUAAGUCGGAUGUGAAAUCUCCGAGCUCAACUCGGAAAUGGCAUUGGAAACUACCUUGCUAGAGGGUUGGAGGGGGGACUGGAACGCUUGGUGUAGCAGUGAAAUGCGUAGAGAUCGGGAGGAACAUCUGUGGCGAAGGCGGCCAUCUGGACCAGCACUGACACUGAGGCACGAAAGCGUGGGGAGCAAACAGG
rnacentral:rRNA from 1 species